rnacentral:rRNA from 1 species
UACAGAGGGUGCGAGCGUUGUCCGGAAUCACUGGGCGUAAAGGGCGCGUAGGUGGCGCGACAAGUCAGUGGUGAAAGUUCGACGCUCAACGUCGAAUCGGCCACUGAUACUGUUGGGCUUGAGCACUGUAGAGGCUAAUGGAAUUCCGGGUGUAGCGGUGGAAUGCGUAGAGAUCCGGAAGAACACCGGUGGCGAAGGCGGUUAGCUGGGCAGUUGCUGACACUGAGGCGCGACAGCGUGGGGAGCAACAGGAUAGAUCCCAGUACGUCC